CUCAUAUAAAAAUAAAAUGGAAACUUGUAAAAAUAUUAUGGGAUGGCUAAGGGGUAACUAGGAGCCACAGAACCAAAGGUUCUAAUAGUCAGAAUUAUUAUGGGAUAACAAAGUGUGACCAUUUCUUGUAUAAAAAAAGUGAAUAAUGUUCACAAUUAUUAUGGGAUGGCAAGGUGGGCACCAGAUCUUAUAUAAAAAUAAAAUGGAAACUUGUAAAAGUAUUAUGGGAUGGCUAAGGGGUAACUAGGAGCCACAGAACCAAAGGUUCUAGUAGUCAGAAUUAUUAUGGGAUAGCAAAGUGUGACCAUGUCUUGUAUAAAAGAGUGAAUAAUGUUCACAAUUAUUAUGGGAUGGCAAGGUGGGCACCAGACCUCAUAUAAAAAUAAAAU